rnacentral:rRNA from 1 species
UACGUAGGCGGAAAAUUAAGUCAGUGGUGAAAUCCUGCAGCUUAACUGUAGAACUGUCAUUGAUACUGGUUUUCUUGAAUACAGUUGGGGUAGGCGGAAUGUGUAAUGUAGCGGUGAAAUGCUUAGAUAUUACACAGAACACCGAUUGCGAAGGCAGCUUACUAAACUGUUAUUGACGCUGAGGUACGAAAGCGUGGGGAGCGAACAGGAUUAGAUACCCUGGUAGUCC